GCCUCAGUAGCUCAGCUGGUAGAGCAACGCUCUUGUAAAGCGAAGGUCGCUGGUUCGAAUCCGGUCUGAGGCU
rnacentral:tRNA from 1 species